rnacentral:lncRNA from 1 species
GGCCAACAUCUUGUCAUAAAGCAAGUUUGUUCUAAAUCUGAGAAGAAUGUAUUUAUUCACGAUAGACACACAGAGAAAGAGAGAGAGCGAGGCAGAGACACAGGCAGAGGCAGAGGCAGGCUCCACGCAGGGAGCCCCACGCGGACUCCACCCCUGGGCUCCAGGGUCAGGCCCAGGCUGAAGGCGCGUCAACCGCUGGGCCGCCCGGGCCGCCCCCAAUUUCUUAAAAGCUGCGCGGGCAGACAGUCACCAGGCCCUCUCCAGCUGUGCUCGGUGCCACGCAGGCGGCUUCUUGACUGGCUCGAAGCAUCUAAGCAAAAGUUUGCGGGGGGGGGGGGGGUCCCUGGGGCCACGUUAAGAUGCAACCGGCGCGCAGUUCACAUCACUUUGAAAACAAAAAAAAAAACAGAAAAUCGCUUUGAAACUGCCGAACUGGGAUCCUGGGCCUCACUCCGCAGGCCUCGGAGCGGGCGUCAGAGCCAGGUUUUGCAGUCCUCUCGCCUCAGCUGCGGCCCCGCGACCACAAUUCCAGGUGCCCGCCAGGACCCUUCGAGCCCCGACAGCCCGGAAGCGCCUGACCACGCCUACCCACUGCGCCUGCGCGAGGCGCCCCCUCCGGCGAGCGGGGAGACUGGCGCUGGGCGGGCCGAGAGGCUCGUCGCGCCUGCGCGAAGGCCCCGGGGAGCAGCGUCGUUACUUUCCAAACGACUGGCGGGAACCGUUGGAGGCCGUGCGGUCGCCGUCUGGUCUGCCGGGCAGCAGCGCGCUCCCUCGUCCCUAGGCCUGGCCGUGGCGCCGCAGCUCUCCCGCGAGCAGAGGCGGAAAUCGCGGCCCAGUUCUUCUGUGAGUCCCCCUCCCGCAGGCCAGAGGGCGGGGACAGCUGAGGCCAGCGGCCCUGGAGGCCCGGCCGGCCCGGAGGCGGGGGCCGGGGGUGGGGGGCGGCUCUGCUCCAGCGCCCGCCUGGCUGGAGAAUCUAAUCUAGGCGCCUUGCUCCUGGGGGAGCGGGAAGCCCAGGUGCUGCCCGGCCUGCCUCGCGCCGCGCCCCUGCACCAGCAGCCUUGCGGGAAACUGCGGAUCCCACAGGCCGCCCAGCCCGGCCGCCCGGCACCACCCCGAGCGGUGGAGCCCAGUGCACUUUGA